AGGAGCAAGCAAGCAAGAAAGGUAUUAGCAAGCAGGAAGCACAGAGGAAGGGAAGUGUCUUCUGGAUCUCAAACCUGGUUGCUGGCUACCAGAGGAAGGGAAGGAAGAGGCGCAGUUUCGCCAUUGCCAACCACAGACCAGCCGACCUGUGCAUCACCGAGGCCGUGGGCUUAUUUCUUCGAGUGGAGGCACCACUCAGUUCUCAGUUCAGAGGAAAAAGAAUGAGUGGACAAUGUUGCUGUUGUUGUCUGCACAGGAUGCUAGGGGAGUGAAAGGUGUUUAAAUAGAGGAAGGGAAAGUUCAGAACAGCUGCCAGGGCAGAGCAGAUGCUGGGAGGGCGGGAAGCGGUGAGAAGGCUGGGGUACAGGAUUGCUCCCGAGACCCGCCCAGGCACUGGAUGCACCUCCAGCCUGAGAGCAGCAGGGGGCGGGGUGCCGGGAGGAGAGGGAUUUCAGAUCUCCUGUGCCCUGUGGGCGUCAGAACGCAGGACUUUCUCUUCCGAAACCUGGGCUAGUUCUCAGGUGCAACAGGCCCUGGGUGUGAUGCUCUAACCAGGCGCCCCGGGUGUAAGUACUCAGGCUUCUCGUGCUUCCUCUUCAUACUACACCUUUUGGAACCCAAGAACCUCGCGGCUGCUCCUUCUGGCAAUGGAAAUGUCAGAAAGCAAAGGAAAUUUAAGCUCCACUCAGAGAAAAGAGAAGAUACCAAAAAGUCCAGGGCAACAGACUGUGGUAAGAUGAAUGUGUCAUAUAUGCUGAUGGGGCUGCAGUGGGUUUUGCUAUUUAUCGGAUCAGAGUUUUCUUAGUAUUAUGCUCUGAGAGGGUUACUGCAAUAAAUAAGAUGACUAUAUCGUAUGUAAAACUUUACUUCCUGAUGUGGGAGUUCAUGAAAAUGAAUUUAAACAUAAUUUUAAUUAUGCUUAUAUUCUUACUCCCUCCUGUUGCCAUUCCGUCCUAUAUAUGACCCCAAACCAACAAACACUUGAAUUGUUUAUUUUUAAUUACACCACGAGGCUACAUUUUUAUUGUUUUACAAGGCAUAGGUAAAAAGCAAGGAGUUGAAAGCAAGUGGACUGGGGCAUGGAGGUGGAACUGAAGCGCACUGCAGUCAGAACCCUGGGUUGGAGGUUUUGUUUCUGUCUCUUCCAGAAGCCGUCUCUCUAACUGUGGACAGAUCUUGUUGCUGAAUGGAC
rnacentral:lncRNA from 1 species